ACAUUUGGUAGAAACUGUUGAAGCCACCUAGUCCCAACAGACCCCAGAAGGCGGCUACAUUCGCUUGUGCUGGGGCAAGGUCAUUAAGGGAGAAGCCUGGUGCCAGAUGUG
ensembl:rRNA 5S_rRNA 5S ribosomal RNA